GCCCUUAUAGCUCAGUGGUAGAGCGCAGCACUCGUACUGUCAUCUUGUUCAGGGUUAUUCUUGAAUAGUUACAAAUUGCUAAUGCUGAGGUCCAUCGUUCAAUCCGGUGUGGGGGCA